rnacentral:lncRNA from 1 species
UUUUUCCCGUUUUCCCCCCGUUUUUGCUCACCUCUCCUCCUCUGGCAGAAGCAGACGGCCACGAGCAGCCCCAGGAGCAGCGCGGCGGCGGCGGCGACGCAACCGGCCACCAGCGGGACGGGCAGAGCCGGGGCUGUCCAAAAAACCCCCAAAACACCCCAAAAAAAAAGGCUUCGUUAACGCGUCGUCAACUAAUUAUUGAGUCAACCAAGAGGUUUGAGAGCGUUGGAAGAGGUGGAGGUGGCCCCCGGGGAAGACCCUGAAGGGGAAUUUGAGCAAUUUCCAGCUAAAGAGGGAAUCGGAGCGGAGUUUGGGGAUGGAUUUGGAAAACUGGGGUCCUCCGACCGCUCCUCGAGGUGGAUUUUUGGGAAUCGAGGUUCCUCCAACUGCUCCUCAAGGUUUUGGGGUCUGGCCGGCGACGGAGGAGCGAAGGCGUUUUUUUGGGGCGAUAUUCGUCGUUUUGGAGCAUUUGAUCGUUUUGAGAGGAUUUUGAUGUUUCAAUUUUGGUCAUUUUGGGGAAAUCCGCUCAUUUUUGGCGAUACUUGCUGUUUUUAAACAUCUCCCCCCUUUUUGGGGCUUUUCUCGCCAUUUCCGAAUAAAUCCCAAAAAAAAAACCCCGCGAGUCUCGUUUUUUUUUUGUAAUUUUACCAAAAUCCCGGGAUCUGAGCCCGUCUCCCCCCCUGC